CCGCGGAGCCCGCUGUCAGGGCCUGGCUGUGCCGCCGGCUGCUCCUGCUCCCGCCUGCCCGCUGCCUCCACCUUUGUCUGGUUGGUUUGGUUCCGGUUUGGGAUUUGGAUUUCGUUUUCUGAGACAGGCCUCUCGCUGUGUAGUUCAGGCUGCCUUGAACUUGCAAGCUCUCCUGCCUCAGCCUCCGGAAUUCUGCCGGCUGCCUCCGGGCCCAUUUUGGAGAAACGGCUUUAGGAAAGGCCUUCCCUGACGGCCCGCACCCCAGUCAGAGCCAGCCGCCCCCAGGGCGAGCCCCCCCGCAUUCGUGGCCGUAGAGGUGCUCGGACCUGGGGCUCCUCCUACCGUUCCCAGGGCUCCGCCUCCUCUCGGAUGCCCCUCGCCCUGUGUCUCCGGGUGGACAUAUUCAUUCGACAAACACUGCUCAGCACCUGCUGUGUGCCAGGUGUGAAAGACGAGUCAUCCGAUAAAACGUGUGACGUCGUUUUUCCAUUAGCUGCGUGGACAAAGCGAAAGGAGAUGGGAAAUCGACGUUAGUGUCUACUCCCUCUACUCCGGAAUAUCCAGAUCGGAUGGUUUCAACCCGUGGUUGAUAUUAAAAAGAGCUCUUUUUCCAUACAAAGGCUUCCAGGGGUGGCGUGUACUGUGUAUGGAGGGCUUUUCCACUGGAGCAGGAUCAGUCUUUCUGCAGCUGCUGGCUUUCAGGCUGCUGUGACAAUAAAUGGACAUAAUACAUGGCAGGUGGCAGUCAGAAGAAAGGGAGAGCGAGUGAGGUCCCUAAGGAGUGACACCUACACUGCGUGUGGCAAGGGGGAGCCAGGAAGCUGCCUGCAGAAGCGCACUUGGGUGCAGGGCCUGGCAGGUGCAAAGGGCCCGUGGCAGAAAUGUGCAGAAGCCAGCAAGGAGCAAUGGGUUGGGGUGAAAAGCGGCCCAAAGGGCGACCUGGAGGCGUCCACACCCAGCUGCGGCAGAGGGGCCGGGGUGACAUGGCAGGAGGGGGCGCAGGCCUCGAAAGUUAGUACUUCACAGUAUGAGAACCGAGGAGGAGCGGCUCCGGGGACCGGGCGCAGGACGAGGAGGGGACGGAGCCCCGUGAGCCUCUCCACCCCAGGGCCAACCCCAGCUCUGGAUCCAGCUCCCCCCAAUACACAGCACAGAUUCCUUCAGUAUAAAUGUGCUUAAAAUGAAAAUUCUUAUUUAAAAAAUCAAAACCAAAAAAUAAAAAUAAAAAAUAAAAACAAAACCAGAGAGAAUACCUGGGAGUUGGUACGGCAGGGUAUGUACAGGGGGGACCCCC
rnacentral:lncRNA from 1 species